GCCUUGGUGGAUCAAUUGGCAGAUCAUCCCAACCCAGUCGAUGAAUAUUGAGGGAAGGCGGAGGUUCGAAUCCUCCCCAAGGCG